rnacentral:rRNA from 1 species
AUUGAACGCUGGCGGCAUGCUUUACACAUGCAAGUCGAACGGUAACAGGCCGCAAGGUGCUGACGAGUGGCGAACGGGUGAGUAAUGCAUCGGAACGUGCCCAGUCGUGGGGGAUAACUACUCGAAAGAGUAGCUAAUACCGCAUACGAUCUAUGGAUGAAAGCGGGGGACCGUAAGGCCUCGCGCGAUUGGAGCGGCCGAUGUCAGAUUAGGUAGUUGGUGGGGUAAAGGCUCACCAAGCCAACGAUCUGUAGCUGGUCUGAGAGGACGACCAGCCACACUGGGACUGGGACACGGCCCAGACUCCUACGGGAGGCAGCAGUGGGGAAUUUUGGACAAUGGGCGCAAGCCUGAUCCAGCAAUGCCGCGUGCAGGAAGAAGGCCUUCGGGUUGUAAACUGCUUUUGUACGGAACGAAACGGCUCUGGUUAAUACCCGGGGCUAAUGACGGUAACGUAAGAAUAAGCACCGGCUAACUACGUGC